UACAAGUCUGAGGCUUCCUUUGCACUUGUGUUGUCAGGCUAGUUUAAACAAUAUCCAUGCUCUAUCCCCACCAUUUAUCACUCCCUCAGCUGUAAUACAUGCAAAGGCAUCCUCAGAGGAUACUGACUCACUCAAUGACUGAAGUACUUGUGGUUUGGGACCCAUUCUGUGCCAAUAAUCCUGGAACCAGGGAAGUUCUCUUUUCUUUACAAAAAGAAGCUUCCAGGCCAAGUUGCCAUUUGUUACAACACCAAGAAGCGUGGACAGCAAAGCUCUCAAGCUGGAACUCUGUAAAGCAGACCGAGUUAACAUCUCAUGAAGUUAUCCAGCCACCAGUGAGAUUUUCUGACAGGGAACAACCAGGGGCUCAGCAGCCCUUAAACACUCCCCCGUUCACACCCAGUCAGGCCAAGGACUGGCUUUGCAAGUCAUCGCUUCACCCUGCGAGGGUAACAGGGGAUUUGCCAGCCACGGAUGCAGACAAACCUCAUCUAAACAUGAAAGAGGUGCAGAGCCAAGGAGCCACUCUGGGAAAUUUGUUUACAAUGAACUAGCCUGCUUUCAGAUUCUUUCUCUGACGUAAAUUCCUGUUAUUUCUCUUGCACUACAUUUACACACUUGCCAUUAUUUUUGUUUUGUUCCCGGGAAGAGAUACAUUAAAGGGCUGAACAUCUCAUGCUCAGUGUUGUGUUUAUACUUGAGCUUUUUAGCUUGAUUAGAAAUUCAACUUUUCCUACUACUCAUGUGGCAGAAUUACUGUUCUGAAAGCACCUGCCCUUAGGGAACAGAGAUAAAUAAUUCAAACUACUGAAAGUCACCUUCUCCUUCCACUGUGCUUGGUGUUUACUGGGACCUUCUAGCAGCCAGAAUGAUCCUAACAUUUCCACUGUGUGACACUGGCACUGCUGCCAUGGGACAGCAUUUGUAAGGCCUCUUCUGCCUUCAUGCUGCACUAAAUACCUGGCACAUGGGAAUGGUAAGGAUUCUCCUCAUCAGAGUACUUCAGUCAGGAUUGUCAUUUUAUGUUUUCCCAGUACUUGGCCUGACCUCAGCAAGUUGGUGAUCCAGCUUUAAAGUCAAAAUCAAUCCUAUACAAGAAGUAUAUAUUUUUAGUUUUAUACAUUGCCAUGUAGCAACAUUUAAUCAUUC
rnacentral:lncRNA from 1 species